ACUGGGGUGAAGUCGUAACAAGGUAGCCGUAGGGGAACCUGUGGCUGGAUCACCUCCUUU
rnacentral:rRNA from 1 species